UCAAGCAAUAGCUUAUUUGCUUAUUGAGACUCUUUAACUUUGUGAUAUGUUACAAAAUUUCAUAAAACUUGGAUUGAAAUUCACAUACCCUUCAUUUUGUGUGCCUAAAAAUUGCAAGCAAUUUUGCCCACAAAGUUAAAAUAAAAAUUGCACAUGCCUAUGUGCAGGAGCACACAACAGAGCGCUCGGUACAACAAACGAACACCAAAAAUAAACCCGGAAACUUGGCGAAGAGGAAGAGAGAUCUGCCACCUUAACUACGGCUAAGUACGUCAAAGGAAACAAUGGCGAAGAUUGAACUAAAUGAAGAACAAGAGCAGAUAUCAAAGCAGCAAACGAAGAAGAAGGCCGCCGGAAAGAAGAAGCAUGGAUCGCCAGCAUUUUUUCUGUUCUUAGAUUACCUUUUCUUGGGCAUCUUCUUCUGUUUCCUCUGCUUCAUUCUCUUCAAAUUGGUCGGAUUUUGAUUCAAGAAGGAUUAAUUAAACAGGCGUUUGAUCUUCGUUCAAUUUCUCCAAAAGUGAUCUGCAGACAUGCACAGUUUGCGGUAACUACUCAUCAAAGUGCUCACAUUGGCUGGCCUUACUGCUUAUAAGUUUGGGUUAAAUGAACAAUUGCUAAUCAGUGUACCACUAAGUUCUUUAAUUUUUCAAUUGCAUGGUUUCUACGUUUGAUCAAUAAUAUUACACUGAUUUCAUCUUUCA